GGACUCGUAACUCAGCUGACAGAGUGUGCACUGUACAAAGGGUAGGGGGCGUCCAUGCGUGGGUUCGAAUCCCACCGAGGCUG
rnacentral:tRNA from 1 species